UGUAUGUUGCGUCUUCUAAAAUCGAUAUUAUUCUAUGGAUUUUCCAGAGUCGUCAAAAAUACAAUAACAAGAACCACAAUAAAUCAGAGUGUCCCUUACGUGAACCGAAAUUUCCAAAGUUGGACAAUUGAAGUGCCCAGGAAGAAAAGAUAAAAGCUAUACGCUGUGUACUGUAUAAGUUGUUACAUAAUGUGCCAUUCAUCGAUGAACAGUACUUAGGUUCAGUGAUUCUAUAUGUGUGUAAAGAAGACUAGGUUGGGUGAUUCUAAAUAUUGGUAUCUCGUGAAAAAACCAGGAAUUGAUGACAACGAAGAAAAUGAUGAUAAAAGUGGGGAGCAAGGUCAAAACAUGCGGUAUUUUGAUUGGCAUAAUUUAAAAGCUCCAAACCAAGACUCUGUUAGCUUAGGCAAACAAGUAUCAAUACUGAACCUAAGUCUAAGUACUACUGUUCAAAUAACAUCCGAUGAAAAAACGUAUGUUCAUCGUCAUGCUAGUGAAGAAUUUGAUCCUAGAUACAUGAAACCGACUGUCAAACAUAGAAGUGGAAUAGAAUGUUUAAUGCUAAAAAAUAGUGGUGAUGACAUGGUAGUAAAUCUUGUAGCUGAUAACUUAACGGAAGGUAUUGUGGGAGUUACUUGAGUAGAAGAGUAUGAUAUAUGAAGGAAUUUUGGUGGAAACGGUGAAAUCCCAGAACUUUAAAAUAGAGAUAGAAAUAGAAAUAGAACUGUAUUGAUUGUAGCUCUUUCAAGGGUACUGAUACAAAUCAGCCAUAUCGUUUUUUAUGAUGAACAUAUCGUAUCAGUGUCAAACGUUACUUUUGCAUUUAAACGCUUCAUACAGAAGCUUAUUAAUCGACGCAGAGGAAAUAUUAGAUAUUUUUGUGGAUUUUUGACAAUGAUCUCACCGGUUUUUCAAAUUACACAAAAUCCGAGAUAAUAAGUAUAAAGUUGAUCAAAAUUCUCCACCAUUAAAAAAAAUUAUGUUUCACAAUAAUGUUAAGCAAUACGGUACAUUUUUAUUACAUAAAACUAUGGAUUACAUAUCAUUUUAUAAAUAGCAUGAAAAACAGUCAUUCAAUUGAUAGUAACUUGAGAACGUUGUGUUUUAUGGGACGUUUCAAUUAACAGAGGGAAUAUAGAAGAAUUGAAACAAAUUUACGUUUUAAUAUGUGAGGCAACUAAAAGAGUAAGGAAGUUUAACUUACCUAAAAUGAACUAAAAAUCGUUUAGUUUAAACUUUUGGUUAUAUCAAUAAAA
rnacentral:lncRNA from 1 species